CUCAUCACUCUCUCAGUAAAAUACUUUCACCGACAUCUAAUCUAAAUCCCCCUUCCUUUAGUUUAAAACCAUUCCCCCUUGUCAUAUCGCUAUCUACCUGUGUAAAAAGUUGAAUUCCCUCAUGUUUUUAAACUCCCUCUAAAUAUCGGAAUGCUCUUUAGGGUAUCGUGGCACACAUUUUCCCAGGCUACUCUGGAAAUGUAAGAUUUACAAACAGAAGUCCUCCUCACUUACUUAUUCCUACACCUUCUAUAUAUGUGACAGUCUAAAAGUACGCAAAAAUGCAAGGACUAAAUACACUAAUAUGGUAAAUACAAAACCAAAGGAUAUUCUUAGCAGAAGGAAACCGUGGUGAUAGAUGAAAUGACAGUAGAAUGGCAGUAUGUAUGUGUACAUGUAUACAUUGUGUCUUCCUGUUCCAGAGCGUGAUGUUACCAAGCUGGAAAACUAAAAAACAGCAAGAAAUAUUCAUGCUACCUUAAAGAUUAUGAGGUUUUUUAGAAGUCAAUAUACAGUGAAUCCUUGGUCUUUCACUUUUUCAGUGUUCAGGUCCUGCUCUAGCAUCUACUUCCAAGCUGGAAAAAAAGCACAACAAAACAAAACCGAAAAAAGCAUUGCUGAGAUUCCUGUAUAAUCAAAACAGGGCCUGCAAAGACACCGUUUAUCGAGAGCCACACACUAAGGCUGUGAGAGCUGGCAGCAGUGACAGUAUUACAAUUAAGAAUAACAUUUUUUCCAGACAGAAUAAACACCAUUUGUCACUUCAUAAGCUUUAGGAUUUGAAAAUGGAACUAAAAGUAUUUCCUUCACUCUUCCCGAUGCAGCCGAUGUUGCUUCAUCUUCUGACACUGCAAGUAUUUGUAGACAUCACCAAACUAAAUUAUAAAGCCUCCUUCCUUCCUCCUCCUUUCCCUUAUUCCCCAGUUUUGAAACUGUUUUCUCAAGCACUGAUGUAGAGCUUUGCUGCUGAUUGGUUCUACUGUGUAGAUGUGAUGAGGGGAAGCCUGGACAUGGAUGGCUGGGCCAGAAGACCACUCAACUUCAGAGGAGGUUGGGGACCAGCCAGGAGGACAGGCCUUUCAGCUGGCUCUGUUCCCCAAAUACAAUAUUUAUGACCUUAAAGCAGCAUCAGCAAAGGCAGGUAAGGGUUUUACAAAGCAUACCUGCAACAGCUGAGCACUGAAGUGCCCAGAAGUGACCGUUCAGAUAGCUUCACAGACAACGUGCUUUGUGUUGUGCCUUGAUAUAAUCUGAAAAGCUGCAAAUCGAGCACGGUCCGAACGUGCUGCAGAGGAAGAUGGCCGCCUGGUUCCCCCAGCACUGCCGUCCUGCCUUUAGGGAGCUCUCUCCACCCCGCAGUUAAACGAGGGACAGCCCCGCAACCCUCGGGGUGGGGGUGUUUUAGGCCGUCCCCUCCCCUUCUACCUGGAACCUUUAUGCUUAUCCUUCUACAAGGAGAGGCCUGCACAGCCAUUAGCACCCACAUCCCACCACCUUGGCUCUACCCCCCAGCUGCUCAGCCAACAAAGUCGAGCAAAGCAGAAACUGCAGCGAAGGGCUGUGACUAAUUAAGAUGUUAUCUUGUGAGCCGAUUCAAAUGAAGGUGCCUGGGAAGAGAAUGCAAAAAUCCUAAGUAGCUGUGAAGUAGCUCUUUUCACCAACCUUAAAGCAGGCACCACUUAAUAACUCACAGCUGUGCAUAUUCGAAGCUCAUCUAGCACCAGCUCAUGCAUUAUUGACGUUCUAAUUACUGGCAGUGGAGCUGCAGAAACCACAGCGAUACCUGCUUUAGCUGAUUGGAGACCGGGUGUUGGGAAGGGCUCCCACUGGUUGUAGAGCACAGCCCCUGUACUGGGGAGAGCAGGGCAGGAGGUGGAGGUGGGAGAGCAGCUGAGCUGGGAGACUCUGGAAACCUUAAAGAGCAGAAGGGUGGAGAAGCACAGGUAGAGAAACCUGCAGGAUUAGUGAGUGUAUGCUCUUAGAGAGUGAGCUCAUCUCCUUGUUAGCAGUGCCCUCUGAUGCGCAGUGGCCCAGGUUGAGGGCAAAGCGCAGGUCUCCUGGCAACAGACCAAGGCAGGGAGCUGCUGCCUGGCACGGAGACCUUGAGUUGAUGCAGGGGACUGCUGUGCCCACGAAGGAGGCGUUGGUGUGUUCCGCAGCCUGUGGCAGCCUGCGGCAGCCUGCUACUACCAGGAUCCCAGGACUGCUGUCACAUAGCAUGCUUGGUGGUAGCUUUGGUAUGGAUGCCAUCUGAUGAGGAAAUGGAUGGACGCCACUAAUUGCACUCCUCCAGAGCAGCAGGCAGCUGAAAACUUUCCCUCCUCCCAGUGAGAUCAAGGACAAAAUGAUGAAAAGCUCUGAUUUCUGUGCCUGAAACCCAUUUUAGCUCCAGCUACGCUUUCCGACAGGCAACCUGGAGGAGAUUAUUUGUGUGGUCUUUACUCAGCCGUUCCAAAGUCCUCGCUGGAUGGUAGGGAUGGCCCUCCCUCAGCAGAAUGGUCUGGGCUCUUCUAGUGCUCUUGGUUAUCACCACCAGGAUAUUCCAGGACCACAUCCAUGGGCAGGCAGGAAGCUAGUGCACAGCCUCCCAUAAACCAUCUGUUACAAAAACUGCAAUCACAACCCAAAGCAGCAGCCCUUCAGUCAGCAACGUGACUGAACUCAGGUAAGCUGAAGCCAAAUUCUCCUUUUAAGUAAACAGACCUCCAAGUAUUGCUACUCUGACACAUGCUGGAUCAUUGCUUACAAGAUGAAACUAGCCUUUCUCCUGCCUGAACCUGAAGUUGGAGGCAACUUUUGAGUGAAUCAUGGAUGCGAGCCUCGUGGUAGGCAAAGAUUCUGCAUACAUGGAAAGCUUAGAGUCAGACAUGCUACCAGCUGCAGCAGUCCAAGGCAACAAAGCUUCAAGGACAAGCACAACUUCUGUGGAUGCGGAUCACAGGAAGAAAAAGGGUCCAGAGCAGAGCCACUUGGAGGACCUCUGAGCCAUGGCCACCGGGGAGGUCUGUGUGCAUCACUGCCAAGGGUUUUAAAGAGAAAACCCACAACACAGCAUGACUGUUGACACUGUCCAGAUCAAAGAAGCUUUGUGGUUUGGAAAACGUGUCAUCGAAGGGAGGAAAAAAAAUAACGGGAACCUCCUCCGGGAGAGUUUAGCAGUAGGUAAGGGAUAACCAGCUUACGAUAGGUACCCUGUGUAAGAUCACAAGCUGAGCCAGGCAGGUUGCCAGUGGGCUGUGAUAGAAGAGUACUGUGUGCCCCAGACUAAAGAGAAGGUCCUGUGCAUGGGCUAUGUUUGUAAGCUACAUCCCAUCUUGGCUAGCUCAGCCUGCUUUUUCCUGCCAGGGCACUUGGAUGAUUCUGCCUGGUCAUGCAGCUUCUCUAAUGCCUUCCUGGUGAUUUAGGUGAGCUUUCCAGGAGUCUCUCUCUCAAGGCAUCCAUCCAAAGGAUAGGUAUGGGAAAGCUCCUUAUAUUCUGCCCUUCCUUCCUUAAGUUCUCCUAUGCAAGAGUGAGGUACAGAUGUGCCUUGGUGUUCACUGCUUGGAGAUAAUCCCGCACUGGAGACCUGUAUCUGACUCACCUGAUUUGCCCUGGCUCCUCGAUGUGACUGAUACAGGCAGUAGGACAAGCCUGGUGUAGAGGACGUGUUUGCUAGCACAUUCCAUCCAUCCAGUUGUCCACAGAUGCUUAACGAGAUCCAGGAAGACAGCCAUGAGGCCAGGCAGCUCAGGCCUCAUCCAUAAUUGCUUGCUAUGCAGCAAGCUGCAAUCACAUAGGAGCUAUAGACAUUACAGUCUUAAUGUCUAUAGUCCAAACAGGAGCAGGAGGAGAGACCUUACCAACAGGGUUUUAGUUUGAAUUGUUCCAAGAUCCAUCUGCACUCUGAGAAUUGCAAUUCAUGAGCUCAAUCCUGAGAGCAUUUCUCAGUAUUUUUUCUGAAAUUGAAAAGCACUGAUGGAAGCUGCACAGAAGCCUUGCCUUAACAAGUGCUUGGAGACCAGGUGUCCCGCUUUUCCGAAGCAGGCAUCUAUCACCAACAAAGCACACCUUGCCUUACAAAGCACAGAACAGGGAGGGAUUUUCUGUCCUGAGGAAUUUACAUGUAGGAGGUAUCGACAUGAGGAUGGGGAGUCUCUUAAUUUCAUGAAACCCGGGAUAGCGGACUACUCUGUAGCACCGACAAACUUGGUUUUCACCUCUUCUGGACCCCCUGAAGGUCUGGUUUUGGAGAAGUUCAUGCUCUGGAGCUCCUGCAGUGAUGAUGGCAGGCACUGGCUGGAGGCACAUCCCCAGACCCUACCAGCAGGCUGGAGGUAGGGCUGUGAGCAACAGGAAUGUGAUUCCUUGCAUAAAAGCAGGCAGGGAAGUAUCUGGCAGUGCUCAGUGUGUGCUGUGGCAGUGCCUGGUGAGCCAGUGACGGCAGGGGGUCCUGUAGCACCCAGCACCAGUCAGACACCUAAUAAUGGGCUCCCCCACCAUUUCUUACAGAACGUGGCAAGAGGUUGUAAAGAAAGAUGUCUCUUCUGCUCAGUAUUUAUCAGCAGGGCUGGGGCUUGUUCAAGGACUCCUUCCUCCCCUCCUUACAGGCUGAGGUCAAAUGAGAACACAAAUCUCACUGAUAAGGUUGUCAAAACAUGCCAAUUGAAUGUCAGAUAUGAUUAAUGGGGAAGAUAACACCGAUGUGAUAGGUCAUGGGGAGGAAACUGCUAAACCAGUUGUAAAAAUGGAGAAUAUGUUGGAGGAGGCAGCAGAGCCAGGUCAGAGUGGAGAGAUUUGCACUGCAUGGAAGUCUGUAUGCUGGUGUGGAAAGCUUUGCUAUUGGCACACAGGGUGCUCUGGAAGGGCUUGGAGUAUCGUCAGGAAAGUCACUCUUUUAUAACAUACAAAUGGUUUCAGGACAGCUUCUAGAUAUUCCCAUGAUUUCAUUGCCUUAAUGUGUUGCAUUGCAUCCCCUAGUAUACUGAUAAUCAGCCCAGACAUCUCUUCAGCCAAACCACCUCUGAGCGGUGGUGGGAGGCGUUCCUGGAGAGUUCUUCACCAUUGUGGUUGAGCAGACCAGGGAGGGGAGCCCCCCACACAAACACCAUUCACAGGAUUACAAGGGCUCCUACAAGGGUCACUGCUUCCCCUUUCCCUGUUAGCAUCAGCUGCUGUGGCGUCCAUGCCCCGGGUCACCCAGGAAUGGCCAUACGGCUCCUGUCACUCAGAUUACAGUUCCCAACCCUAUGCGUUUGCACAGGAAAAGGCUGGAGGCUGAGGUGGAGGAGGAAGGGAAAUGCUGGCUACAGCACUGUUCUAUCAAAAGGAUGAGAUGAAGGGCAGGACAGGUUUUGGAACGCCUUUUCAGCCACAGCAAAGCACCUGUCAGCAGAACCGAGAGGGGAUGUGAUAGAGGUGAAGAAUAGACAGCCAGAAGAAAGUAGGGCAUAAGGCAGAGCUCUUGCUUUCCCAGCCUGUGAUUUCUUGCUUAAGCUUCUUUUGAGACAGUGGCACUGUAUAAUGCUUCAGGACUUUCACUUCAAUUUCAGCCUAAUUUAUUGCCCCUUCCCAAUGCUCCAAUGCUUUCCUCCUCCCCAGCACUCCUGCAGCUGAGAAACUUUGCCAGUGCCACCAUGUUAGCUGAGUGGAGGAAUAAGCAGAGGUAAAAGCAAGGGCUUUGUGCCCACCAGUGUUCCCACUUAAGCUGUCAGCAGUUGCGCUGACAGACGAACCUGGCACAAAAGCACGUAGCUGCAGUUCACAAGCAACUUUACUCCAAAGAAGUAUAAAUUGACACUGGCUUGCUGGUCAUGGCAGGGAAGCAGGUUACCAGCCCCCAACAGCAGACGUUACAGUUAAUCUUUUAUGCUAACAAAGCCUUGAUUUUAAUUUAAACCUCCCUUUUAUCUUUCUGCCUUCCUACCCUAGAACAAACAUGCUUUCACCUAGUGCAAGUGAAUUGGAUGAAAAAGACAUUUUUCUUGCCUUGUCACAGGGCCACAUUCUGGGGCGACUGCACGUGUGGAAUUUUCCAUGUGGUUGCGAUAAGCAGCCCAUGUGUACAGAAGAAAAAAACAGCGUGGCUUUUAGAUGGUGCAAGAAUUGCCUCUGAUUAUUUCCGCAGCACCUGUACAGGUCCUUAACCAAAGCCUCUGGCUGCCUCCAAGUGAAACAGAGCAUCGGGUGCUAAUACAACAACCAAGUGCCAACCAAGCGUGUAGAAAGUGUCAGCAAACAAUGCUGUAGUUGAUGGGAUAUUUAAGAGUGUCUCGAACAGCUGUAGCCAGCUAGAGUACAUAAAAGGGCAUAGUCAUUAAUUCACAGUGGCCCACACCACUGAUUCGAUGCACACAAAUUGGAGAACCAGCUGGCUAAAUGUCAUGCUGCUGGUUUGUUUUUGAAGCCCAGGUAACAGAUUUCCAGUUCCUUUCCAAACACAGUCAAAAAAAUGCAUGCAAUGAUUUACUGCAGUAGCUACCGACUCAGAUAAUUCUAGUGUGAGUGUUAUUUACUCUGAUCCAGAGAAAGAUCAGAUGAAGCCCUAUGUAAGUGUAGAAGAAGUCAGAUUCCAAAGUAGUUGCUUACAAUCUGUUUCUUUCCUGAAUAUAUUCUAAUGUUCAGGUUUAGCAGAAUUUCUAAUUCUGUUGAUGAUGGUAAGCUAUAGAAGCUCCUCUUACCUGAAAUUACAAUUUCAGAGUUUCCUCAGUCCACUCCCACUCAUCUUAAAAACAACAGGAGUUUUGAUGAUGAUUGGUGGGAGAACUACCCCUAGUGCAGACUCUGAUCAUCAGAUUUGGUGUAUGAGCAUCAGCAAGGUGAAAAUAUGUUCACAGGAAAACUGUGUACUUGCUUCGAACAUACCUCUGCUUUAGCAAAAGACAUCCCCAUUUCUGGGCUCAGCUGGGGUGCUGUGUUUGUCGUGUGAACCUGAUACACCCAGAUGAGGUGAUGGGUGGCAAUAUGAGUCCCCAAGCCAGAGAACAAGGGCUGUCAUGGCUCCUAGGAUCAGCAAGCCCAGCCCCUGACUGCCACGAGCCCCGCAUCUGCAUUCCCAGCGUGUUUUUAGAUGGGGCUUUAAAGAUAUCCAGCCCAAUCCCUCAAAAACAGCUUCAUUCUUCUUCACAGAGACAGAUUGAAGAGCUGAAAAAAAGCCCAUAAAAAAAAAUACAGCUCAGAAGGAGACAAAGUUCUUACCAGCCACACUUCUGCAGUGCUGACAAAUUGUGCUCAAGAAAUCAAUUUCUUUUAGAAAAAUUCACCUGACUUCUUCCAUUUUAAGAGGAGUGUUUCUGAGUUUGCAGCGAGUGCAAACAGCUGCGAGUCUGUCUGUCUGGGCAAGGUCUGAGGACCAUUACGGGAAGCAACUGCCCCACAGAAACGCACCUGAGAGUGGCACUGACUCUGACCUGGCAGCAGGGAUGGCGCCCAGGUGGGCGGCCUUCACAGAGCGGCCCAGCACCUC